AUUGAACGCUGGCGGCAGGCUUUACACAUGCAAGUCGAACGGCAGCGCGGGCUUCGGCCUGGGGGCGAGUGGCGAACGGGUGAGUAAUACAUCGGAAAGUGCCCAGUAGUGGGGGAUAGCGCGGGGAAAGCGGGGUUAAUACCGCAUACGACCUGAGGGUGAAAGCGGGGGAUCUUCGGACCUCGCGCUAUUGGAGCGGCCGAUGGCGGAUUAGCUAGUUGGUGGGGUAAAGGCCUACCAAGGCGACGAUCUGUAGCUGGUCUGAGAGGACGACCAGCCACACUGGGACUGAGACACGGCCCAGACUCCUACGGGAGGCAGCAGUGGGGAAUUUUGGACAAUGGGCGAAAGCCUGAUCCAGCAAUGCCGCGUGUGUGAUGAAGGCCUUCGGGUUGUAAAGCACUUUUGGCGGGAACGAAAAGGACUGUGCCAAUACCACGGUUCGAUGACGGUACCCGCAGAAUAAGCACCGGCUAACUACGUG
rnacentral:rRNA from 1 species